rnacentral:rRNA from 1 species
AGAGACAGCAGCAGCCACGGUAAUACGAAGGGGGCUAGCGUUGCUCGGAAUGACUGGGCGUAAAGGGCGCGUAGGCGGUCACGAUAGUCAGAUGUGAAAUUCCUGGGCUUAACCUGGGGACUGCAUUUGAUACUGUGUGGCUUGAGUGUGGAAGAGGGUCGUGGAAUUCCCAGUGUAGAGGUGAAAUUCGUAGAUAUUGGGAAGAACACCAACGACGAAAGCACUCUGCUGGGUCGACACUGACACUGAGAGACGAAAGCUAGGGGAGCAAAUGGGAUUAGAUACCCCCGUAGUCCCUGUCUCUUAUAC